GACAGCUUGGCCGAGCGGUUAAGGCGGCAGAUUUAAGCUCUGCUCUCGAAAGAGUCGUGAGUUCGAACCUCACAGCUGUCA
rnacentral:tRNA from 2 species